rnacentral:rRNA from 1 species
CGCAUCUGUGCAUGCAGCAUAUCAAUAAGCGGAGGAAAAGGAAACUAACAAGGAUUCCCCUAGUAACGGCGAGUGAAGCGGGAAGAGCUCAAAUUUGAAAUCUUAAAGGGUUUCCCUUUACGAAUUGUAGUUUAAAGAAGUGUUUUCUGUUGAGGUUUUGGUAAAAGUUCUUUGGAAUAGGACAUCAUAGAGGGUGAGAAUCCCGUAUUUGACCUUUACUUUCAACUUUGUGAUACACUUUCAAAGAGUCGGAUUGUUUGGGAAUGCAGUCCAAAAUGGGUGGUAAAUUUCAUCUAAAGCUAAAUAUUGGCGAGAGACCGAUAGCGAACAAGUACCGUGAGGGAAAGAUGAAAAGAACUUUGAAAAGAGAGUUAAACAGUACGUGAAAUUGUCAAAAGGGAAGCGUUUGACACCAGUGUUGUUUUUCUGAAAAUCAAUUAAAGAACUGUUUAUGCUAAGCUGUUUAGACUUUAUCAGCUAUACUGUUUAGUUUUGAGCUUUUCUUUAAUGCACUUUUCAGUUAACAAGUCAACAUCAAUUUCUUUUGCUGUAAAAAAGCUUGAGGAAGGUGGCUUGAGAUUCGUCUUAAGUGUUUAUAGCCUCUUGCCUAUGCAGUCGGAGAGAUUGAGGUCUGCAGCGUAGAUCCUUCGGGGCUAAAUGCAUUUGUGCUAAGUUAUAGCAUUUUAUAGACAACUUGUUGACUAUGAUUUGUCUUGUAGCUUACUCGCUUAUGUUAUUUUACCUACGCUUAGGAUGUUGAGUCGUAGAGCACGCAG